UCCAUAAGUGAAAAAACGUUUUCUACUCUUUACACUCCAUGGACAGAUGGCAUUCGGUUAUUGGAUAAAAUAAUGUCACUAGAGUUGUGGUUUUUCUCUUAUCAUUUAUGGACCAUUGAUCCACAUCUAUGGUUGAGAUUUAGUCUCAUAUAAUUAAUGCAAAGGGAGACUUUAAGGGUUGGUGAGAAGAAGUCAGCCGGCACUUUUUCUUUUCAUUUGGCAGAAAUUGUCCCUUCAAGUUUCUCUCUCUCUCUCUCGUUCCUUCAUGUUUCUGCUUCUUCUUUUCUCUUUUGAAUUGAAGAACCAGUGAAGAUUAUUGUAAUAAUCUUGUUGUUAUCUGAUGAUGAUAGAACUAUGGUACAGAGUUUUAGGCCUUGAUUGUGGCUGGGAAAUCUGUAGUGUGUUCUUGGGAAGGUUUUGUCUAGUCUUGUGGCUAGGUUUUCGAGUUAUUGAGAGAUCCUUGUGGAUCGAUGAUCAUAUAGUGGGUAUGAUGUGAUUUCUUCAACUGGUUGUACACUCUCUUGAAGGUUUCUUGCUAGUGACGGGCUUACCUCUGAGCCCCCCAGAUUAGGCCAUUUCAGGCUGAACUGGGUGAAAAUUUCUGUGUUCGAUUUUCUGUUCCUGCUUUAUUUUACUGUUUUACGAUUGUUUGUUGGUGUUGGGUCGAUAAUCCUAACAAAUCUGGUAUCAGAGCUCGGUUUUCGAGGCAUCUGCGUGACAUACCUUGCCCUGAGGAUAUUUUAGUGGGUUGAGAAAAAGGUUAAACGGUCGAACAUAUUUUUUUUUCGGAUCAGCAGAUUUUUUUUUCGGAUAUUUCUUGAGAUUUUAAUUUCUGUCCAGAUCUUAAAGAUCUGCACAGAUAUUUAGGAAACUAAUUUUUCUAUUUAAGUGCGAAGGUUAAGAACAAAAAUUAGUCAGCCCCUGACCGGCUCCAUUUUUGGCAAGUGAUAGGGUGAUCUCUGAAACUCUUGUGAUUGCACUGUUGUUCAACGGUGCUGUGGGUACUUGGGCGAUGAUGUAGGGUACGGUUCUGUCACUAGCAUUAUAGCAACAAGAGAGGAAGUGCGCGGUUUGAGAACCAAGGUGAAGAUUUGUGAAGUCGUGAUUAUCAAACAGCACAUCCAUAAGUGAAAAAACGUUUUCUACUCUUUAUACUCCAUGGACAGAUGGCAUUCGGUUAUUGGAUAAAAUAAUGUCACUAGAGUUGUGGUUUUUCUCUUAUCAUGUAUGGACCAUUGAUCCACAUCUAUGGUUGAGAUUUAGUCUCAUAUAAUUAAUGCAAAGGGAGAUUUUAAGGGUUGGUGAGAAGAAGUCAGCCGGCACUUUUUCUUUUCAUUUGGCAGAAAUUGUCCCUUCAAGUUUCUCUCUCUCUCUCUCUCUCUCUUUCCUUCAUGUUUCUGCUUCUUCUUUUCUCUUUUGAAUUGAAGAACCAAUGAAGAUUAUUGUAAUAAUCUUGUUGUUAUCUGAUGAUGAUAGAACUAUGGUACAGAGUUUUAGGCCUUGAUUGUGGCUGGUAAAUCUGUAGUGUGUUCUUGGGAAGGUUUUGUCUAGUCUUGUGGCUAGGUUUUCGAGUUAUUGAGAGAUCCUUGUGGAUCGAUGAUCAUAUAGUGGGUAUGAUGUGGUUUCUUCAACUGGUUGUAUACUCUCUUGAAGAUUUCUUGCUAGUGACGGGCUUACCUCUGAGCCCCCCCAGAUUAGGCCAUUUCAGGCUGAGCUGGGUGAAAA